rnacentral:rRNA from 1 species
AGUGAACGCUGGCGGCAGGCCUAACACAUGCAAGUCGAACGGUAGCACAGUAAGAGCUGGCUCUUUCGGGUGGCGAGUGGCGGACGGGUGAGGAAUACAUCGGAAUCCACUUUUUCGUGGGGGAUAACGUAGGGAAACUCACGCUAACACCGCAUACGACCUACGGGUGAAAGGAGGGGAUUUUCGGCCCUUGCUCGAUUGAAUGACCCGAUGUCGGUUUAGCUGGUUGGCGGGGUCAAGGCCCACCAAGGCGACGCUCCGUAGCUGGUCUGAGAGGAUGGUCAGCCACACUGGAAGUGAGACACGGUCCAGACUCCUACGGGAGGGAGCAGUGGGGAAUAUUGGACAAUGGUGGGAAGCCUGAUGCAGCCAUCCCGAGUGUGUGGAGAAGGCCUUCGGGUUGUAAAGCCGUUUUGUUGGGAGAGAAAAGCAGCAAGUUAAUACCCCGCUGAACUGACGGUACCCGCAGAAGAAGCACCGGCUAACUACGUG